GAUGAACGCUGGCGGCGUGCCUAAUACAUGCAAGUCGAGCGAACAGACGAGGAGCUUGCUCCUCUGACGUUAGCGGCGGACGGGUGAGUAACACGUGGAUAACCUACCUAUAAGACUGGGAUAACUUCGGGAAACCGGAGCUAAUACCGGAUAAUAUAUUGAACCGCAUGGUUCAAUAGUGAAAGACGGUUUUGCUGUCACUUAUAGAUGGAUCCGCGCCGCAUUAGCUAGUUGGUAAGGUAACGGCUUACCAAGGCAACGAUGCGUAGCCGACCUGGGAGGGUGAUCGGCCACACUGGAACUGAGACACGGUCCAGACUCCUACGGGAGGCAGCAGUAGGGAAUCUUCCGCAAUGGGCGAAAGCCUGACGGAGCAACGCCGCGUGAGUGAUGAAGGUCUUCGGAUCGUAAAACUCUGUUAUUAGGGAAGAACAAAUGUGUAAGUAACUAUGCACGUCUUAACGGUACCUAAUCAGAAAGCCACGGCUAACUACGUG
rnacentral:rRNA from 1 species